GCCCAAGUGGCGGAAUGGUAGACGCAGGGGAUUCAAAAUCCCCCGAUAGCGAUAUCGUGUGGGUUCGAGUCCCACCUUGGGCA
rnacentral:tRNA from 2 species